GGUAUUGUUUACCACCAUUUUUUGGCCCCGGAAACCAGAAAAUAACGAAUGCAAGGAACGGCAUUCACAAGUAAACAAAGA
rfam:Streptococcus sp. DF1 DF1_Contig7, whole genome shotgun sequence.